rnacentral:lncRNA from 1 species
UUCCCGUUUCAUCACCGCCUUCUUUUUCUCAACAAAAUUAUGACAAUCUUUCUUUAAAUUCACUCAUUUAUUAUUUUGCAAAUUUGUUACAAUAAAUUCAUAUUUCUUGAAGGGCGACAAUAACCAACCCAUCAAGCAUGAGGGAAAGUGAAGCUCAGAAGCUCAAUUUCUUGCUCAUUUUCUCACUUGUACUGAUUUUCUGUAAGUUUUAGCAAAUACCCGUCUUAAUUUGUCACUCUAUUUGCUUGAUUUCAUGGUUUUUCUCAGUUGGGUAUUUAUAAAACCUAAAAAGUCUGGAUCUUUUCUUCAGGGUUUAGCUAUUUGUUGAUUCUGUGUGUUGGAUUGAUGGGAGAAUGUGUUUGAGCUGUUAAUGGUAGUUGAUUGGAUGCUUUAAGAUUUAAGGGGUUUGCUUAGAUUUGUUUGUUGUUGAAGCUUAUUUGAUUUUAGGGUUUUGAGUGCAUUUUUGACUUUUUUAUAGUCAAACCUAGUGAGUGUCAACUACAGAGGUUAAGAAUGAAAAUUGUUACAAAUGUAACAUAUCGAAAUGUUACAGAAUCCCAGUUAUGUAUGUCAGUUAUUGAACCUAUUCACAUGGUUUAUUAGUUAUCAUGUGUUUGGUUGCUUGACAUGUGGUUUUCAUGUGUUUGGUCAUCAGAUAUUCUGCAUUUAAUGAAUUCACAUCUGUGUUUGUGAUAUUUUGCUUGUUGAUGAAAGUUACCUGCAAUAUCAUUGUCUUGAGACAUGAUAUUUCACAGUUUAUUUGCUAGUUUGAGUUAAAUACAAUAUUAGCCAUUAUCUUUGUGCUGCUGGCUAACAUUGCUUCUGAAUUCUCAUCAUCAUGGGCGAAGCUUGAAGGGGCGGGAGGGGGUGGCCGACCCCCCCGAACUUUUCGCUUAGUAGUGGAGAGUAGGUAGUUUUUCGUAUAGAAAAUUUUGGGUAUAUCCGUUUUCGACCCCCCGGUUUUAUAAUUUUUUUUUAGGUCUGGUGACUUCCGCUCCCGGUCGGAAAUCUCAAGCUUCGCAAGUCAUCAUUCAUAAGCAAGAUGUCUGAAAAGAUACAUGAAUGAUGAGAGUUUAGAAGCAAUAUUAGCCAGAAAGGACAUGAUGCAGAAUCAGUUGAACCCAGUCAUGCUUAUGUUGCAAACCCAACAAUGAUGUGCUAUAAAAAAAUGCAGAUAUUUCUAAAAUCUAGUCACUUCCUAAAGGUUACUUUUGAUAUUUUACUAAGACUGUCGGGUAUGGUGGGGCGGGGGUUGGGGACAUGAGUUGACAUGUGGAGUUCGAGCCCCCCCGCCGGUGAGUGACGUGUCCGUGGGGUAUGGCGGGGCGUGGCUAGCCCGCGUGGCUUGGCAGUUUAUUAA